rnacentral:rRNA from 1 species
AUUGAACGCUGGCGGCAGGCCUAACACAUGCAAGUCGAGCGGGGUUUUCGGACCUAGCGGCGGACGGGUGAGUAAUGCGUAGGAAGCUGCCCGAUAGAGGGGGAUACCAGUUGGAAACGACUGUUAAUACCGCAUAAUGUCUACGGACCAAAGUGUGGGACCUUCGGGCCACAUGCUAUCGGAUGCGCCUACGUGGGAUUAGCUAGUUGGUGAGGUAAUGGCUCACCAAGGCGACGAUCUCUAGCUGGUUUGAGAGGAUGAUCAGCCACACUGGAACUGAGACACGGUCCAGACUCCUACGGGAGGCAGCAGUGGGGAAUAUUGGACAAUGGGCGCAAGCCUGAUCCAGCCAUGCCGCGUGUGUGAAGAAGGCCUUCGGGUUGUAAAGCACUUUCAGCGAGGAGGAAGGGUGGUGUGUUAAUAGCACAUCAUUUUGACGUUACUCGCAGAAGAAGCACCGGCUAACUCUGUGCCAGCCGCCGCAUAAAAC